AAGUCGUAACAAGGUUUCCGUAGGUGAACCUGCGGAAGGAUCAUUAGUGAGUGGGGAGAGGAGUGAGGGAUGGAUUGAGAUGGCUUAUUAAAGAUGAUUUAUAACGUAGUCACACCAUUAUUACUAUCAUACUACAAACAACAACAACAAUAAUCAACAAACACAGCUCUCAGCCACGGAUAUCUAGGUUCUC
rnacentral:misc_RNA from 1 species